rnacentral:misc_RNA from 1 species
AGAAAAUCUCAACUAGUGGAAUAUCUCAAGAUGUGUGUGUCAAUGAUUUAGAACCUCCUGCCUUUGAAGUUCUUCCAUCUCUUAAAAGGUUAAAACAACGAGUAAUUGCUGCUGGCCGAGGACAAUAUGAUGCAGUCUUCAUGUCUGGAAGUGGAAGCACAAUAGUAGGGGUUGGCUCUCCAGAUCCACCACAAUUUGUCUAUGAUGAUGAAGAAUACAAGGAUGUCUUCUUGUCAGAAGCAAGUUUCAUCACUCGACCAGCCAACGAGUGGUAUGUUGAACCUGUUUCAGGUAGCACUAUUGGUGAUCAACCUGAGUUCUCUACAUCUUUUGACAUGUCUUAAAAGGCUCAGAAGAGCCUGUAAAAUUGAAGCAAUAGGAGAAG